UGCAGUCGAGCGAGAAAGUGACUUCGGUCGCGAGUAAAGCGGCGAACGGGUGAGUACAACGUGGAUAAUCUACCCUAGGGUCUGGGACAACCCCGAGAAAUCGGGGCUAAUACCGGAUAAGACCACAGUAUCCGAGGAUACAGCGGUAAAAGAUUUAUCGCCCUUGGAUGAGUCCACGCCCCAUCAGGUAGUUGGUAAGGUAAAGGCUUACCAAGCCUAAGACGGGUAGCCGGCCUUAGCGGGUGAACGGCCACAUGGGGACUGAGACACGGCCCUGACUCCUACGGGAGGCAGCAGUGGGGAAUAUUGGGCAAUGGGCGAAAGCCUGACCCAGCGAUGCCGCGUGAGGGAUGAAGGCCUUCGGGUUGUAAACCUCUGUCAGGAGGGACGAUGGGACACUUGUGUCUUGACGGUACCUCCAGAGGAAGCCCCGGCUAACUCCGUGCCAGCAGCCGCGGUAAUACGGAGGGGGCAAGCGUUGCUCGGAAUUACUGGGCGUAAAGGGUCCGCAGGCUGUCAGGCAAGUUGGUUGUGAAAGCUCAAGGCUUAACCUUGGAAUUGCAUCCAAAACUGCCUGACUAGAGUCCAAGAGAGGUUGGCGGAAUUCCCGGUGUAGCGGUGAAAUGCAUAGAUAUCGGGAGGAACACCAGAGGCGAAGGCGGCCAACUGGCUUGGUACUGACGCUCAGGGACGAAAGCGUGGGUAGCAAACCGGAUUAGAUACCCGGGUAGUCCACGCCCUAAACGAUGGAUGCUAGGUAGGGGAGAAUUUAUUUCUCCCUGCCGUAGUUAACGCAUUAAGCAUCCCGCCUGGGAGA
rnacentral:rRNA from 1 species